CUUUGAUGAAGUUUUCGGAUGGAUUUAAACAGCUUAGUGGCGGACGGGUGAGUAACGCGUGGGUAACCUGCCUCACACUGGGGGAUAACAGUUAGAAAUAGCUGCUAAUACCGCAUAAGCGCACAGGGUCGCAUGACCUGGUGUGAAAAACUCCGGUGGUGUGAGAUGGACCCGCGUCUGAUUAGCUAGUUGGUGGGGUAACGGCCUACCAAGGCGACGAUCAGUAGCCGACCUGAGAGGGUGACCGGCCACAUUGGGACUGAGACACGGCCCAAACUCC
rnacentral:rRNA from 1 species